AAUUGCUUCAGGCAGAGCACGGUAUACUAAAAAUUGGGAAACAAACAAAUUCAGCAGCUAUCCACUGUAUCACAGUGUCUAUGAAACAUAUGAGUUGGUGGAAAAGUUUUAUGAUCCAGUGUUUAAAUAUCACCGCACUGUGGCCCAGGUUCGAGGAGGGAUGGUGUUUGAGCUAGCCAAUUCCAUAGUGCUCCCUUUUGAUUGUCGAGAUUAUGCUGUAGUUUUAAGAAAGUAUGCUGACAAAAUCUACAAUAUUUCUAUGAAACAUCCACAGGAAAUGAAGACAUACAGUGUAUCAUUUGGUAUGUUACCCUUCCUUUUUCAAAUUCCUCAUCUGUAUGGUUCUGUUAAUCUCCUAAAUAUAAUGGGCUAUCUUAGGUCAUUUAUUAUUUAUUGCUAUUUCAAGUGAUCCAAUAUUCUGUUUAUGUCUAUAGAUGUAUUUUCCAUUUUAUGGAUGCUCACAUCUUAUCAUAUAAAAAUAUAAAUACCUUGUAAAAC
rnacentral:sRNA from 1 species